GACGGAGGAUGCAAGCGUUAUCCGGAAUGAUUGGGCGUAAAGCGUCCGCAGGUGGCAGUUCAAGUCUGCUGUCAAAGACCGGGGCUUAACUUCGGAAAGGCAGUGGUAACUGAACAGCUAGAGUAUGGUAGGGGCAGAGGGAAUUCCUGGUGUAGCGGUGAAAUGCGUAGAUAUCAGGAAGAACACCCGUGGCGAAGGCGGCUCUCUGGGACGGUACUGACGCUGAGACGCGAAAGCGUGGGGAGCGAACAGG
rnacentral:rRNA from 1 species